rnacentral:rRNA from 1 species
GAUGAACGCUGGCGGCGUGCCUAAUACAUGCAAGUCGAGCGAAUGGAUUAAGAGCUUGCUCUUAUGAAGUUAGCGGCGGACGGGUGAGUAACACGUGGGUAACCUGCCCAUAAGACUGGGAUAACUCCGGGAAACCGGGGCUAAUACCGGAUAACAUUUUGAACCGCAUGGUUCGAAAUUGAAAGGCGGCUUCGGCUGUCACUUAUGGAUGGACCCGCGUCGCAUUAGCUAGUUGGUGAGGUAACGGCUCACCAAGGCAACGAUGCGUAGCCGACCUGAGAGGGUGAUCGGCUACACUGGGACUGAGACACGGCCCAGCCUCCUACGGGAGGCAGCAGUAGGGAAUAUUGCACAAUGGGCGCAAGCCUGAUGCAGCAACGCCGCGUGAGGGAUGACGGCCUUCGGGUUGUAAACCUCUGUUGUUAGGGAAGAACAAGUGCUAGUUGAAUAAGCUGGCACCUUGACGGUACCUAACCAGAAAGCCACGGCUAACUACGUGCCAGCCGCCGCGGUAA